UAAACACCGGUUCCCAUACACUCACUAAAGUUAAGCAAUGUUGAGCUUGGUCAGCACCUAGAUGGGUGACCACUUGGUAUUAAUAGGUGCUGUAA